GCUACGGGGGCAGCAGUGGGGAAUAUUGGACAAUGGGGGGAACCCUGAUCCAGCGACGCCGCGUGAGUGAAGAAGUAUUUCGGUAGGGAAAGCUCUAUCAGCAGGGAAGAAAAUGACGGUACCUGACUAGAAGCACCGGCUAACUACGUGCCAGCAGCCGCGGGAAUAAGCAGGGGGCAAGCGUUAUCCGGAUUUACUGGGUGGAACGGUAGCGUAGACGGGGCAGCAAGUCUGAUGUGAAAGGUCGGGCCCCAACCCCGGGACUGCAUUGGAAACUGUUGAACUGGAGUACAGGAGAGGUAAGCGGAAUUCCUAGUGUAGCGGUGAAAUGCGUAGAUAUUAGGAGGAACACCAGUGGCGAAGGCGGCUUACUGGACUGUAACUGACGUUGAGGCUCGAAAGCGUGGGGAGCAAACAGGAUUAGAUACCCGAGUAGUC
rnacentral:rRNA from 1 species